GUGCUUACUUCAGCAGCACAUAUAAUAAAAUUAAAAAGAAACAGAAGAUUAGGAUGGCCCCUGCAUAAGGAUGACACAAAUUUGUGAAACGUUCCAUAUUUUU